rnacentral:misc_RNA from 1 species
GCACCUGAAAUAUCUUUGAGACUAGGCUUCUUCUCUUCAGAAAGCUGAGUUAUGAUAUAAAUGACUGCUGCUGCAAUUGAUAUAGGACUCCUCCUUAUGUCGAACUCUUCCGACUUCUGCACAGCUUCUUGGGCAGCUUUCACUGCUUGAUUAUUCAUACCAAGAUUUGAACAAAAACGCCUCAUAAAAUCCCCAGCGUGAAUAGUUCCCAUCUCCACUGACUGACCUGUCUCCAACCCCAGUUGUUUCACUAUGUAUUCUUUUGCUCGGCC